GACGAAGGAUGCAAGCGUUAUCCGGAUUCAUUGGGGUUUAAAGGGAGCGUAGGUGGCCUUAUAAGUCAGUGGUGAAAUCUCUGGGCUUAACCCAGAAAUUGCCAUUGAUACUGUAGGGCUUGAGUAUAGUUGCCGUUGGCGGAAUAUGACAUGUAGUGGUGAAAUACAUAGAGAUGUCAUAGAACACCGAUUGCGAAGGCAGCUGACGAAACUAUAACUGACAACUGAGGCUCGAAAGUGUGGGGAUCAAACAGG
rnacentral:rRNA from 1 species